GGUCUCGCACCGGCGACGCAUCUUUCAAAUGUCUGCCUUAUCAACUGUCGAUGGUAGGUUCUGUGCCUACCAUGGUUGUAACGGGUAACGGGGAAUCAGGGUUCGAUUCCGGAGAGGGAGCCUGAGAAACGGCUACCACAUCCAAGGAAGGCAGCAGGCGCGCAAAUUACCCACUCCCGGCACGGGGAGGUAGUGACGAAAAAUAACGAUACGGGACUCAUCCGAGGCCCCGUAAUCGGAAUGAGAACAAUUUAAAUCCUUUAACGAGGAUCAAUUGGAGGGCAAGUCUGGUGCCAGCAGCCGCGGUAAUUCCAGCUCCAAUAGCGUAUAUUAAAGUUGUUGCGGUUAAAAAGCUCGUAGUCGAAUCUGUGUCCCGCGCCGCCGGUUCGUCGCUCGCGGCGUUUAACUGGCGUGUACGCGGGACGUCCUGCCGGUGGGCCUAACCCUUUCACGAGGGCGGCCCAAUCAUAAUCCCGCCGCGGUGCUCUUCACCGAGUGUCGAGGCGGGCCGGCACGUUUACUUUGAACAAAUUAGAGUGCUUAAAGCAGGCUCAAAUUUUGCCUGAAUACUUCGUGCAUGGAAUAAUGGAAUAGGACCUCGGUUCUAUUUUGUUGGUUUUCGGAACCCCGAGGUAAUGAUUAAUAGGAACGGAUGGGGGCAUUCGUAUUGCGACGUUAGAGGUGAAAUUCUUGGAUCGUCGCAAGACGGACAGAAGCGAAAGCAUUUGCCAAAAACGUUUUCAUUGAUCAAGAACGAAAGUUAGAGGUUCGAAGGCGAUCAGAUACCGCCCUAGUUCUAACCAUAAACGAUGCCAGCUAGCGAUCCGCCGGCGUUCCUCCGAUGACCCGGCGGGCAGCUUCCGGGAAACCAAAGCUUUUGGGUUCCGGGGGAAGUAUGGUUGCAAAGCUGAAACUUAAAGGAAUUGACGGAAGGGCACCACCAGGAGUGGAGCCUGCGGCUUAAUUUGACUCAACACGGGAAACCUCACCAGGCCCGGACACCGGAAGGAUUGACAGAUUGAGAGCUCUUUCUUGAUUCGGUGGGUGGUGGUGCAUGGCCGUUCUUAGUU
rnacentral:rRNA from 1 species